UACGUAGGGGGCAAGCGUUAUCCGGAUUUACUGGGUGUAAAGGGAGCGUAGACGGCAGGGCAAGUCUGGAGUGAAAGGCAGGGGCCCAACCCCUGGACUGCUCUGGAAAUUGUCCGGCUGGAGUGCAGGAGAGGUAAGUGGAAUUCCUAGUGUAGCGGUGAAAUGCGUAGAUAUUAGGAGGAACACCAGUGGCGAAGGCGGCUUACUGGACUGUAGCUGACGUUGAGGCUCGAAAGCGUGGGGAGCAAACAGG
rnacentral:rRNA from 1 species